ensembl:lncRNA
AUGCAGCACCUCGUGCAUGCCCCGAUCUGGCUGGGAGCUGGAGCUGGAGAGUGUUUGCACAGCGCAGCAUCUGUGCACACACGCCCCUUGCAAACAGGGAUAGCAGCACCACAGGUACAAAAGAGUUCUGGCAUGACUGGGCUUCUGGGUACUACCAUGACGGCAAUGAUGUUAACUUUGAUUGGUGUUAAACCUCUGCUCAGUUCUUGGAUCUGUUAUCUUUACAUUUAAAUCUCUGACCCCCUCUCAAAUGUUUAUGGACUCACCAGUGCCUUAACCGAGCAGUAUGUUUCAUGUGUAAUAGCCACUUUGUAUACUAUACUAGCAUUAAAAACUGUUUUAAAUAGUAUGUAGAAAUCCAUAUGUGUCUGGAAUCCUGCUCUGCUUUUCAUGCAGAAAAAGAACAGGAGAAACAGCAUGUAUUUAUUAAAGCCAUAUUUCUUCAGACAGCUUAACCUCUGCUUUGUAAAUUGUAUUUAACAUCAGUGUCAUAUUCUGUCUUAAUCUGCUAUUGCAUUUUAAACCCUGUUCCCAUGUUGGUCUGGAGUGGUCCAUGCAAAUCAGUCCAGUGGACAGAAAACAGAAUGGCAUUAUAUGGCGGCUCCUUAGUGUUAUAUCCAAUUUUAUGCUUUGUUGAGAGCAGAAGUCACACUAUAACAAUCCCUCAAAGGCUCAAAGCUAAAGGAACAUUAAUCAACAGCAAGAGUAACUGACUAAAUAUAAUGUCCAUGUUGAAGGAAAAGAGCUUGUAUCUGGUUCCUUGCACUCCGUCUGAUGCCUGGGACUUUUAUCAACUAAGACUGAGGGGGAAUCUUUAAAAAGAAAUACUUGAGUAAGAGUGAUUUAUCAUGUGUUUGGGAAGACUCCACUGGGAAAGGUGACUGGCCAAGUCCAUGUUGACUAAGUAGAUCAAGAAUGAGUGCCACAGAUAUACCUCAGUUUUAAAUGCCUGUUUGCUGGUCUCAUUAAUCUGCUAAAUUACCCAGCUCAAAUUGCUUAUGUGUAAGCGUUACAUCAAGGUACACUAUUUUGUAUUAGCUGCCAUAUAAAAAGGAAACAGCCACCGAAGGUAGGAGAGAGUGAGGGUGAGUUAUAGGCUGUUAAAUAAGCCAGCAACAAAGUACUUACUCAUGGGGAACAAAAAUUGCCAAGAAAUAUUCACAUGGGCAUCUGAUAAUAUCUAAUUUGUUCCCAGAAUCACACAUCAUUGUUCCUGCAUGCUCAAGAGAGAUGCAAAAACAGCAAAGGAGAGAAACAAAUAUAUAGACAGACACACAAAUAAUUAACAUGCAUGCAAUCAUAGAGUCCAGUAUCAGAUCUAGAAUACAGUGCAGACGCAGCAUAAGAAAUGUUUAUUAUGAGCAAAGAUAAAAAAAACUUGACAUUAGGGCUAGCUGAUCGCAGUUAUGAAUAACAAUUCCUAAAUUAUCCAUGGCAAACGCUUCUUACAAAGGAAAUGAAUUGUUGCAACACAAUACAUCCUUGUUGUAUCGAUAUGAUUAGCUAGUUAUCCAUAACAUGUUGUAAUUUGUUUUGAUUUUUAAGUGUUCUUUAGUUGCAGAGCCUUAAUGAGGCUUCUCUAAAUUGAUUAGGAACUGCGAGAUACAGCAUGGUUCACAGAUUAUUUCAGAGAGCUGUCAAGAUCCUGUGACUUUCAUUUCAUUGGAUUUAAUGAUCGUUGGAAAAGGUGUGCAUUACAGCCAGAUACAAUCACAUUUGUCAGCAUGAUCCUUUUAAGUGCAAUUCAAUUAAAGUGUUAUUCUCUAAUUUUAUUAUUGCUCAAGCUGAGUGCUAAUGCUGGCUACCAAUAAAGCUACAGGUAGAUAAUGGUAUACA